UACAUAGGGGGCAAGCGUUAUCCGGAAUUACUGGGUGUAAAGGGUGCGUAGGCGGUUAGAAAAGUCAGAUGUGAAAACCCAUGGCUCAACUAUGGGAAUGCAUUUGAAACUUUCUGACUAGAGUACAGGAGAGGUAAGUGGAAUUUCUAGUGUAGCGGUAAAAUGCGUAGAUAUUAGGAAGAACACCAGUGGCGAAGGCGACUUACUGGACUGAAACUGACGCUGAGGCACGAAAGCGUGGGGAGCGAACAGG
rnacentral:rRNA from 1 species